rnacentral:rRNA from 1 species
ACGGAAGGCAGCAGUGAGGAAUAUUGGUCAAUGGGCGGAAGCCUGAACCAGCCAAGUCGCGUGAAGGAUGAAGGUAUUAUGUAUUGUAAACUUCUUUAGACGUAGAGAAAUAAGAGGCUCGUGAGCCUUGAUGCUAGUAUACGUAGAAUAAGGAUCGGCUAACUCCGUGCCAGCAGCCGCGGUAAUACGGAGGAUCCGAGCGUUAUCCGGAUUUAUUGGGUUUAAAGGGUGCGCAGGCGGCCCUGUAAGUCAGCGGUUAAAUCGUGGAGCUCAACUCCAUCCCGCCGUUGAUACUGCAGGGCUUGAUUGCGGUCGAGGUUGGCGGAAUUCGCCGUGUAGCGGUGAAAUGCGUAGAUAUGGCGAAGAACUCCGAUUGCGUAGGCAGCUGACCAGGCCGUAAAUGACGCUCAUGCACGAAAGUGCGGGGAUCGAACAGGAUUAGAUACCCUGGUA